rnacentral:rRNA from 1 species
GCCAGCAGCCAUAUCAUCCUGCAACUCACAACUGACAACCCACUGAAGCUAAGCAGGUGUGAGCCUGGUCAGUACCUGGAUGAGAGACCUCCUGGGAAAAAAAACUGGCUGUUGCUGGAA